rnacentral:rRNA from 1 species
AAUGAACGUUGGCGGCAUGGAUUAGGCAUGCAAGUCGAGCGAGAAGUGUAGCAAUACACGGAAAGCGGCGGAAGGGAGAGUAAUACGUGGGAAUCUGCCCUUAGACCUGGGAUAGCAGCGGGAAACUGCUGGUAAUACCAGAUAAUGUCUAUGGACCAAAGGUGUGAUUCCGUCUAGGGAUGAGCCCACGUCCUAUUAGCUAGUUGGUAGGGAAAUGGCCUACCAAGGGGAUGAUGGGAAGGGGGGGUGAGAGCAUGACCGGCCUCACUGGGACUGAGACACUGCCCAGACACCUACGGGUGGCUGCAGUCGAGAAUCUUCGGCAAUGGGCGCAAGCCUGACCGAGCGAUGCCGCGUGCGGGAUGAAGGCCUUCGGGUUGUAAACCGCUGUCGAGGGGGAGCAACUUCCAUAGAGUUAUCUUUAUGGAUUGAGUGAUCCCUGGAGGAAGGACGGGCUAAGUUCGUGCCAGCCGCCGCUGUAAUAC